CUGGCCUGUUGGAGGGCAGUGGGCUAAAAAGAGAGGUCACAGGCAAGAGGGACUCCAUGAAGGGGCAAAGCCAAGAAGAUGAACUGCGGCCCUUCAGUUUUUGAUGGCGUUAGGGGAAGUUGUCGCUGCCUGUUUUGAAGAUGCCUCUCUUAUCUCAAUGUCCAGAAGACUGUCAACGACCUAUCUUUCAUAGACCAUGUGCUUUGAUUUUUGCCACACUGGCAAAAGAUUCAGCUACGUAAUUUCUUUUGGGCUCCUUUGGCCAAACUGUGCAUAUGUUUUGAGAAGAAUGGCAGGAGUUCGACAUGUGUCCAUGGAACAGAGCCCACACUGGUUGAUACACCAAAAGCUUGGACCCACAUCCUCGGCCCUGGGAGCAUUGUGGUGUCAUCUCGGGAGAGCCUCAUAAGAAUGGAUGAAGAAAGAGGCAAAAGGGAGGAAAGAGUUACAUUCAGAACCUUCUAACUUAGGCCACAUGAUGAACAGUCAUUCACACGCAGACAUUAGCUAGACUUUGAUCCCACCCUUACCAAGGCCACACAUUGUCGCUAUGCAUCAUCCCCCAACCCUAUCAAUUUGUAGGUUGGAGAUGGCUGUCUACUGGAUACGGAUAACAUGAGCUGUGGACGGCAUGCAAUUCUCCAGGUUACGUUGGUAUGGCGACGAGUCAAGGGCUGCUUUUAUGGACUCAGUCUGGCUUGGUCUAGUUUGACAAGAAGUCGA